CCCUUAGAUGCUCUGGGCCGCACGCGCGCUACACUGGUCGAUGCAACGAGUUUCUUUCCUUGGCCGACAGGCCUGGGCAAUCUUUGAACAUCGAUCGUGAUCGGGAUAGAUUCUUGUAAUUUUUGAUCUUAAACGAGGAAUUCCUAGUAAACGCAAGUCAUCAGCUUGCAUUGAUUACGUCCCUGCCCUUUGUACACACCGCCCGUCGCACCUACCGAUUGAAUGGUCCGGUGAAAUCUUGGGAUCCUGUGAGACGGUCUUUAUUGUACUGUUUUGUGGGAGAACUUGAGUAAACCUUACCAUUUAGAGGAAGGUGAAGUCGUAACA
rnacentral:rRNA from 1 species